rnacentral:rRNA from 1 species
AUUGAACGCUGGCGGCAGGCCUAACACAUGCAAGUCGAACGAGUGGCGGACGGGUGAGUAAUGUCUGGGAAACUGACCGAUGGAGGGGGAUAACUACUGGACACGGUAGCUAAUACCGCAUACCAUCGGAUGUGCCCAGAUGGGAUUAGCUAGUAGGUGGGGUAACGGCUCACCUAGGCGAUGAUCCCUAGCUGGUCUGAGCGGAUGACCAGCCAUACUGGAACUGAGUCACGGUCCAGACUCCUACGGGAGGCAGCAGUGGGAAAGAUUGCACAAGUGGCGCAAGCCUGAUGCAGCCAUGCCGCGUGUAUGAAGAAGGCCUUCGGGUUGUAAAGUACUUUCAGCGAGGAGGCGUUACUCGCAGAAGAAGCACCGGCUAACUCCGUGCCAGCAGCCGCGGUAAUAC